rnacentral:rRNA from 1 species
UACGGAGGGAGCUAGCGUUGUUCGGAAUUACUGGGCGUAAAGCGCACGUAGGCGGCUUUGUAAGUUAAGAGGUGAAAGCCCGGGGCUCAACUCCGGAACUGCCUUUAAGACUGCAUCGCUUGAAUCCAGGAGAGGUGAGUGGAAUUCCGAGUGUAGAGGUGAAAUUCGUAGAUAUUCGGAAGAACACCAGUGGCGAAGGCGGCUCACUGGACUGGUAUGACGCUGAGGCACGAAGGUCAGGGGAGCAAACGGG